rnacentral:rRNA from 1 species
AACGCGAAGAACCUUACCAGGCCUUGACAUCCCGUGCUACGUCCAGAGAUGGGCGGUCCCCGCAAGGGGCGCGGAGACAGGUGCUGCAUGGCUGUCGUCAGCUCGUGUCGUGAGAUGUUGGGUUAAGUCCCGCAACGAGCGCAACCCUCGCCUUUAGUUGCCAUCAUUCAGUUGGGCACUCUAAAGGGACCGCCGGCGACAAGCCGGAGGAAGGUGGGGAUGACGUCAAGUCCUCAUGGCCCUUACGGCCUGGGCUACACACGUGCUACAAUGGCGGUGACAGUGGGCAGCGACCACGCGAGUGGAUGCGAAUCCCAAAAAACCGUCCCAGUUCAGAUUGCACUCUGCAACUCGGGUGCAUGAAGGUGGAAUCGCUAGUAAUCGCAGAUCAGCAUUGCUGCGGUGAAUACGUUCCCGGGCCUUGUACACACCGUAGUAC